AUUGAACGCUGGCGGCAGGCCUAACACAUGCAAGUCGAACGAGUGGCGGACGGGUGAGUAAUGUCUGGGGAACUGCCUGAUGGAGGGGGAUAACUACUGGAAACGGUAGCUAAUACCGCAUACCAUCAGAUGUGCCCAGAUGGGAUUAGCUAGUAGGUGGGGUAAAGGCUCACCUAGGCGACGAUCCCUAGCUGGUCUGAGAGGAUGACCAGCCACACUGGAACGGAGAAACGGCCCAGACUCCUACGGGAGGCAGCAGUGGGGAAUAUUGCACAAUGGGCGCAAGCCUGAUGCAGCCAUGCCGCUUGUAUGAAGAAGGUCUUCGGGUUGUAAAGUACUUUCAGCCGGGAGGCGUUACCGACAGAAGAAGCACCGGCUAACUCCGUGCCAGCAGCCGCGGUAAUUC
rnacentral:rRNA from 1 species